rnacentral:rRNA from 1 species
UACGUAGGGGGCAAGCGUUGUCCGGAAUUAUUGGGCGUAAAGGGCACGCAGGCGGUUCGCUAAGUUCGAGGUGACAAUCACCGGCUUAACCGGUGAACGAUUUCGAAAACUGGCGGACUGGAGAGCGAGAGAGGGACAUGGAACUCCGGGUGGAGCGGUGAAAUGCGUAGAGAUCCGGAAGAACACCAAUGGCGAAGGCAGUGUCCUGGCUCGUAUCUGACGCUGAGGUGCGAAAGCUAGGGGAGCGAACGGG